CACUCUGCCCAUUGAUCGGAGCUCCAGGUAGGCCGCUUCGCGGCCUUCGCCUCUCUCCACCCUCGCAAGGUAAGUUCGUUUAGGUAGGUAGCAAUAGGCGAGUAAGACAGAGAUUUGGAAAGCGAAGCUGCUUGCAACGAGCUAAGAGAUUGCAACGCAAAAGGGAGCCAGUGAAACAAGCAAAGUGCAAAACAACGGGCCAAGGAACUCUCAGAGCGAAGGGAAACUCACCGAUGUGGACAAUGCUGUGUGAAUACGAACAAAACUAACGAUCAAGAACACUUAGUUUCAUGUUGCCAGGUUCGCGUGUGUUUCGAUUUGUUCUAAUUUCUUGUCAUGAAGAAGCCAAGUGACAUGUUGGUGCUACUCAACGACGAUAAGAACUGAAAAACGCAAUGUCACAGCGUGUGCCAAGAAGAAAAAUGCUACUAGAUUGGAGAGAUUUUGUGUCAACGUUUUGGAGAGAUUUGUUGUUGCUGUGCUCAACGCAAUUCCUGCAACCCGAGAAACAACGCGAUCUUCAGAACUUCAAUCCAGCUGAAGACGUACAUGACAAUGACAACAACGAUUAUGAUCCGUCGCUGAUCCUUGGCCGGACCGGUCAACUCUCGCACCUCUCCACCUCGCAUUAGAGCUUUUCUUUGUGUUAGCAAUAAGCGAGUAAGACAACGAAACAAGAAAGAUUUGUCGGAGACAGAAAAGCGAAGCUGCUUGCAACGAGCUAGGAUCGAAUGAUCAACAAUAAAUGAAAGGCUAGAAUUCGUGUUGAAACUCUCAACGUUUGAAGA